AUCGCUUCUUGGCCUUUUGGCUAAGAUCAAGAGUAGUAUCUGUUCUUAUCAGUUUAAUAUCUGAUAUGUCCUCAAUCAGAGGACUUUAUAUUAAACAGAUUUUUUGGCCUAGGAUCUGUUUUCUUCCAGAGGGUCUUUUCCAACCUGAAUGUUUCUGUGAUUCUGUGAUGUAGUCCAACC
rnacentral:snRNA from 1 species